rnacentral:rRNA from 1 species
AUUGAACGCUGGCGGCAUGCCUUACACAUGCAAGUCGAACGGCAGCAUAGGAGCUUGCUCCUGAUGGCGAGUGGCGAACGGGUGAGUAAUAUAUCGGAACGUGCCCUAGAGUGGGGGAUAACUAGUCGAAAGACUAGCUAAUACCGCAUACGAUCUACGGAUGAAAGUGGGGGAUCGCAAGACCUCAUGCUCCUGGAGCGGCCGAUAUCUGAUUAGCUAGUUGGUGGGGUAAAAGCUCACCAAGGCGACGAUCAGUAGCUGGUCUGAGAGGACGACCAGCCACACUGGGACUGAGACACGGCCCAGACUCCUACGGGAGGCAGCAGUGGGGAAUUUUGGACAAUGGGGGCAACCCUGAUCCAGCAAUGCCGCGUGAGUGAAGAAGGCCUUCGGGUUGUAAAGCUCUUUUGUCAGGGAAGAAACGGUUCUGGAUAAUACCUGGGACUAAUGACGGUACCUGAAGAAUAAGCACCGGCUAACUACGUGCCAGCAGCCGCCGCCGUAA